rnacentral:tRNA from 1 species
GGCACCCCGUUUAUGGAAACAGUUGGUUUUGAACACCAAUAAUAAGGGUUCAAUCCCCUUGCGUGCUC